GCUGGUCCGCCGCUGCAGAAGGUCGCCCGGUCCACGCGUUCACCCCACUUGUCUUGCUUCUGGCGGAUACCACAGCCCUGUUGCCCCUCAUGAGCAUCAACAAAAUCGGUCUUUUUGCAAUGACGCCGCUGACGCUGCUAUGGCUGACGGCGCUGACGGGCGGUCUGGUGGCCGGGCAGCCGACGCCGCCCC